rnacentral:rRNA from 1 species
CCCGUAAUGGGAUUCCCCUAGUAGCGGCGAGCGAGCGGGAAGAGCUCAAAUUUAUAAUCUGGCACCUUCGGUGUCCGAGUUGUAAUCUCUAGAAAUGUUUUCCGCGUUGGACCGCACACAAGUCUGUUGGAAUACAGCGGCAUAGUGGUGAGACCCCCGUAUAUGGUGCGGACGCCCAGCGCUUUGUGAUACAUUUUCGAAGAGUCGAGUUGUUUGGGAAUGCAGCUCAAAUUGGGUGGUAAAUUCCAUCUAAAGCUAAAUAUUGGCGAGAGACCGAUAGCGAACAAGUACCGUGAGGGAAAGAUGAAAAGCACUUUGGAAAGAGAGUUAACAGUACGUGAAAUUGUUGGAAGGGAAACGCUUGAAGUCAGACUUGCUUGCUGAGCAAUCGGUUUGCAGGCCAGCAUCAGUUUUCCGGGAUGGAUAAUGGUAGAGAGAAGGUAGCAGUUUCGGCUGUGUUAUAGCUCUCUGCUGGAUACAUCUUGGGGGACUGAGGAACGCAGUGUGCCUUUGGCGGGGGUUUCGACCUCUUCACACUUAGGAUGCUGGUGGAAUGGCUUUAAACGACCCGUCUUGAAACACGGACCAA